rnacentral:tRNA from 1 species
AAGGCUUUAGCUUAAUUAAAGUACCUGUUUUGCAUACAGGAGAUGUGGGUUAAUGUCCCGCAAGUCUUA